rnacentral:rRNA from 1 species
GAUGAACGCUAGCUACAGGCUUAACACAUGCAAGUCGCGGGGCAGCAUGGGGGUUGCUUGCAAUCCCCGAUGGCGACCGGCGCACGGGUGAGUAACGCGUAUUCAACCUGCCCUUCACCACGGGAUAACCCGGCGAAAGUCGGACUAAUACCGUAUGUUGUCCAUUGACGGCAUCCGAUCUGGACGAAAGGCUUGGCGGUGAGGGAUGGGGAUGCGUCCGAUUAGCCAGACGGCGGGGUAACGGCCCACCGUGGCUACGAUCGGUAGGGGUUCUGAGAGGAAGGUCCCCCACACUGGAACUGAGACACGGUCCAGACUCCUACGGGAGGCAGCAGUGAGGAAUAUUGGUCAAUGGGCGUAAGCCUGAACCAGCCAAGUAGCGUGCAGGAUGACGGCCCUAUGGGUUGUAAACUGCUUUUAUGCGGGGAUAAAGUGGCCCACGUGUGGGCUUUUGCAGGUACCGCAUGAAUAAGGACCGGCUAAUUCCGUG